rnacentral:rRNA from 1 species
UGAUCCUGGCUCAGGAUGAACGCUGGCGGCGUGCUUAACACAUGCAAGUAGAACGAUGAUCCCAGCUUGCUGGGGGAUUAGUGGCGAACGGGUGAGUAACACGUGAGUAACCUGCCCUUGACUCUGGGAUAAGCCUGGGAAACUGGGUCUAAUACCGGAUAUGACCUUCCAUCGCAUGGUGGUUGGUGGAAAGCUUUUGUGGUUUUGGAUGGACUCGCGGCCUAUCAGCUUGUUGGUGGGGUAAUGGCCUACCAAGGCGACGACGGGUAGCCGUCCUGAGAGGGUGACCGGCCACACUGGGACUGAGACACGGCCCAGACUCCUACGGGAGGCAGCAGUGGGGAAUAUUCGUCUCCACAUGUCGCAAGCCUGAUGCAGCGACGCCGCGUGAGGGAUGACGGCCUUCGGGUUGUAAACCUCUUUCAGUAGGGAUGAAGCCGCAAGGUGACGGUACCUGCAGAAGAAGCGCCGGCUAACUACGUGCCAGCAGCCGCGGUAAUACGUAGGGCGCAAGCGUUAUCCGGAAUUAUUGGGCGUAAAGAGCUCGUAGGCGGUUUGUCGCGUCUGCCGUGAAAGUCCGGGGCUCAACUCCGGAUCUGCGGUGGGUACGGGCAGACUAGAGUGAUGUAGGGGAGACUGGAAUUCCUGGUGUAGCGGUGAAAUGCGCAGAUAUCAGGAGGAACACCGAUGGCGAAGGCAGGUCUCUGGGCAUUAACUGACGCUGAGGAGCGAAAGCAUGGGGAGCGAACAGGAUUAGAUACCCUGGUAGUCCAUGCCGUAAACGUUGGGCACUAGGUGUGGGGGACAUUCCACGUUUUCCGCGCCGUAGCUAACGCAUUAAGUGCCCCGCCUGGGGAGUACGGCCGCAAGGCUAAAACUCAAAGGAAUUGACGGAGGGCCCGCACAAGCGGCGGAGCAUGCGGAUUAAUUC